GACGAACGCUGGCGGCGUGCUUAACACAUGCAAGUCGAACGAUGAAACCUAGCUUGCUAGGUCGAUUAGUGGCGAACGGGUGAGUAACACGUGACUAACCUGCCCCUUUCUCUGGGAUAACGCUCCGAAAGGAGUGCUAAUACCGGAUACUCACACCGAGGCACAUGCCUUGGUGUGGAACGUUUUUCGGAAAGGGAGGGAGUCGCGGCCUAUCAGCUUGUUGGUUCGGUAACGGCUCACCAAGGCGACGACGGGUAGCCGGCCUGAGAGGGCGACCGGCCACACUGGGACUGAGACACGGCCCAGACUCCUACGGGAGGCAGCAGUGGGGAAUAUUGCACAAUGGGCGCAAGCCUGAUGCAGCGACGCCGCGUGAGGGAUGAAGGUCUUCGGAUUGUAAACCUCUUUCAGUAGGGACGAAGCGAAAGUGACGGUACCUAAAGAAGAAGCACCGGCUAACUACGUGCCAGCCGCCGCCGUAA
rnacentral:rRNA from 1 species